AUAGAGUCAAUCGGAAGGCAUAAUAAGAUAUAUAAGGUCACAAUAGAGUGAGAACGGAAGGGAAGAAAUAGAGCCGACAAUGGAAUAAAACCUUGAUUCGUUCAAAUCGUCCACCUUACGAAACCCGGAAGAUCAGAAAUUGAAAGAUAGAAAGGAGGAGGGGUUUUUUGGUCGUAUAAUUAGGCGGUGCACCAACAGAAGUCUACUAAUCUGGGAGAUACGGUGACGGGGAAUAACGGUGAGGAAGGAUACUUUUGGUUUUCAUCGAAGAGACAUUUACCCUGGAGUCGAAGUCGGACGGUGAUUCCUACUGAACCCUAAUCGAAUAAAAAACCCUUCGCUAUCCGCUACCGGAGCAACCCCUUUCUUCCAUCACAAUCGACGACAGCUCCUGCUGAAGACUUCGUCCUUCUUCUCCGAUCAAACUAAGAGUCGGUGGAGGUCAACUACCAGACGAAGACUACACCACAAAGGGGCCACCAGAGGUCAACUACUAAUACAGAGCGUCUGAUUGAUCGGUGAUUCCUUCAUAAGAAUUCAGAAUGAAAUCUAUUUGAGGUAUUAGGAGAUUGAUUUGAUACCUGAGAAGGAGAAGACGCUGGUGGUUUAUUCUAUGGUGAUGGCCUGAGGUGGAUCGAAAUUGGAGCGGAAGGGCUUCGGCUCUGGUGGCGAUUAUAGCCAUGAACGGUGGUGAUGUAGGGAACAUCUUUGAAGAAUACCGAACUGAAGCGUAACGCCUUCGGACAUUCCAUAGCGACUGUAGAGCUCAUUGGAGAGAGCUAUGUUGAGAACACCCAAAACGAUGCUCAAUCGACAAGUCGUACAUGAAAGAAAUUAGCGUACCAGGUGGAGGGGGGUUGGGGAAAGUCGUCGCUUGGAAGAGCAUCAGAGUGUGGAAGGAACUGGAAGUCAAAAGUCCAUUAAUGGAGUUAUGGAGACGGUGGAUCGUGUGAAGAGACCCAAAAACGUAUCCACAAGGAUCAAAUGGAGUCGGUGGCGUGAAUGUGGCUAAGAUAAACAUGACGAAGAGGGUUGGGGAGAAGGUCCUGGAAGGUAGAGAAAGGAAAACCAUAGGCGGUGGCAGCGGUGGUAAAAGAGAAGAUGACACGUUUGCUGAACGAACAGUGGUGGUGAAAGAGAAGAGUGACGUAGACGACCCAUGGACUGAACAUUAAGCACUGUUAUUCUUGCAAGGACCAAAUUGCCAUAUCAAUAAAUAGAUGUACCAAUUCCGAUUUACAGCAAAUGAAAGGGACCAAUUAUGCCAAA